CUGUACCUAUAUGUCAGCCAAACCCCCAGGAUCUGAAACGAGCAGGAAACUUAAAGUUAACCAUUUUAAAGACUAGUUCGCCCAAAGAAAUGCACUUGUAGUGGAAACAAGCCAUUAAUGAAGGAUCUGGAAGAAGAGAAAUCAGGUGUUGGUUUAGCAGGCUGACCUCGGUGAAGCUGAAGAAGAGGCCGAUCCCCCCGACGAAGCGCAGCACCUCGCCGGCGUGCUCCUGGAUCUUUGCUGCACACGUGGUGCACGUGCUGUAAUGAAAGCAGGGCUGCACGAGGGCAAAAGAAUACAACACAUGCAACGCUACACGAACACUAAAGGAGAACGACGAGUAUUGGAGGGCAUUACAGCGGCGCAGCUUCCGUUGAUGUCCAUGCGAGAGAAACCGCAGCAGUUCAGACUC